GUUUGAGACAAGCCUGGGAAACAUGGCAAAACUCCACCUCUACAAAAAAAUAUAAAAAUUACCUGAGUAUGGUGGCACAUACCUGUAGUCCCAGCUACUUGAGAGGCCGAGGUGGGAGGAGAGCUUGAGCCUGGGUGGUUGAGACUACAGUGAGCUGUGAUUGUGCCACUGUACUCCAAUCUGGGCAACAGGGCAAGACCCUGUCUCAAAAAAUAAUAAAAAUAAAAAUGCUAAGGAAUCAAAAGUAACUUUCAAUCUAUAUAAUUGUCCUUAUUUGUCUUGAAUAUGUGCACCAUAUCAUAAAACAUCAUAUAUUUAAAGUGUCAUUUAAGGAGAAUUUAUUCAGUGCUUCAUUGUCAGGACUCUGGUGAAAUGGCAGAUUCUGCUCAUAAAAAAAAAAUGAAGGUGAAAGUGAUUUUUCACUUCCUGAGUAAACAAUAUAACCUGAGGCAUAGAUGUGCAUUUUGAGAGUUACGUUUUAAAUUAGACUUAAGUUUUCUACUUUCAAAUUUAUAUUUAAGAUUCUUGCAAUCUUUUACUCACUUUUGAGAAUUUGCAAGAAUUUAUUUUAAGCAUAAGCAAUCUUAAUAUAAUAAUCUGUAAGAAAAUGAAUUGUUCCUAUGUUUUGCACUAGAGUAAUGACUUUGAUUUUGAUGUGGUAUUGAUCAAUAACUCUAUUCUAUAGGAAAAUGGAAACGUCACUCCCUAGAAACAGUUGAAGUUGACAGACCUAGAGGUUGACAAAAGGACACAACACUAGGGUUAAGACACAUAAAACUGCCACAUGGAGGUGCCAAUUGGUCAAAAAUCAGCAACUUCAUACUGUUCAACCUAAAAGAAGACCACCUUAGGGAAAACUGGCCACGGUUGCUUUACCUAUACCAAAGACCUCAACCAUCAGUACAGCAAGGUCUUGUAAUUCAGAGUCAACACUCUGCAAUCCUAUCUUCUAUUUUCUAACUAAACCUGUCAAGUCACAUUUAAGACCAUCCACAAAAAAAGAAGAUUGCACAGCUGUGACAUUGUCACCCCUACUGAGACCAAAGUAUACCUGGAAUUUACUAGUUAAGCAGUCUCAGAAAUCAGAGAUGGAUUGUUUAUAGAGUUGGAUUCAUUGCCAAUAAAUCUUAAAG
rnacentral:lncRNA from 1 species